rnacentral:rRNA from 1 species
UACGGGGGGGGCAAGCGUUGUUCGGAAUUACUGGGCGUAAAGGGUUCGUAGGUGGCCAACUGAGUCAGACGUGAAAUCCCUCAGCUCAACUGGGGAACUGCGUCUGAUACUGGUUGGCUUGAGUGCAGGAGAGGAAUGCGGAAUUCCAGGUGUAGCGGUGAAAUGCGUAGAGAUGUGGAGGAACACCAGUGGCGAAGGCGGCUUUUUGGUCUGUAACUGACGCUGAGGCGCGAAAGCGUGGGUAGCAAACAGG